GACGAACGCUGGCGGCGUGCUUAACACAUGCAAGUCGAACGCUGAAGCUUGGUGCUUGCACUGGGUGGAUGAGUGGCGAACGGGUGAGUAAUACGUGAGUAACCUGCCCUUGACUCUGGGAUAAGCCUGGGAAACUGGGUCUAAUACUGGAUACGACAUGUCACCGCAUGGUGGUGUGUGGAAAGGGUUUUACUGGUUUUGGAUGGGCUCACGGCCUAUCAGCUUGUUGGUGGGGUAAUGGCUCACCAAGGCGACGACGGGUAGCCGGCCUGAGAGGGUGACCGGCCACACUGGGACUGAGACACGGCCCAGACUCCUACGGGAGGCAGCAGUGGGGAAUAUUGCACAAUGGGCGCAAGCCUGAUGCAGCAACGCCGCGUGAGGGAUGACGGCCUUCGGGUUGUAAACCUCUUUUAGUAGGGAAGAAGCGAAAGUGACGGUACCUGCAGAAAAAGCACCGGCUAACUACGUGCCAGCCGCCGCAGUAA
rnacentral:rRNA from 1 species